rnacentral:rRNA from 1 species
CCCUGCCAUUUGUACACACCGCCCGUCGCUACUACCGAUUGAAUGAUUUAGUGAGUUUCAGGGAUUGAUGGGUUUUGGUGGUUUCCUCCAUUGCUCAUUCGAGAACUGACACAAACUUGACCAUUUAGAGGAAG